rnacentral:lncRNA from 1 species
CUGGUUUGGCGAUUUUCGUUUCUUCCCGUUUGACAGCUGUAUUGUCUGCAUGGGCCGCUUCGGCUGGGGCGGUGUUUGUGUUGCCUUGUGCUGUGUCUCGCUUGUGUUCCUUAGUUCUGUGGUUUGGCGUUCGAGUUGUGGCCCCGAUGUGUGACAUCAUUUGCCCUGUGCUUUCCUGCUCUGCCGGGAUUCUGUGCACUCCUGAUUUUUGCGCCUUGGUUCUCUGGUCUUUUUCGUUUCUGAUUUUGUUAAGGGUUGUCUGUGCUCUGCGCACAACCGGUUUCUUUCUCAUUUUCUUCAGUAUGUUUCUUGCUGUCUUGCGCCUUGCCGCUGGGGCUGGCGGUGCUAUGUGGCCCUCGCUAUUCGCGUUUUCAUCUUGUACUCUCUGGUUG